GUGCUCGCUUCGGGAGCACAUAUACUAAAAGUGGAGCAAUAGAAAGAAGAUUAGCAUGGCCCCUGCUCAAGGAUGACGUGCAAAUUUGUGAAGCGUUCAUAUUUUUU
ensembl:snRNA U6 U6 spliceosomal RNA